AUUCCCCGCCUCCUCCUGUCCCGCAGUCGGCGUCCAGCGGCUCUGCUUGUUCGUGUGUGUGUCGUUGCAGGCCUUAUUCAUGGGCUCACCGCUGAGGUUCGACGGGCGGGUGGUACUGGUCACCGGCGCGGGGGCAGGUGAGCAUGCGAAGGUUGGAGGCCGCGCCCCUUGCUGAGGCGCAGCUGGCUGCUCUUUUCGGGCCGGCAUACGCGCGCAGCCGCAGCUGAGGUCACCCCGCUGAGGUGGUGGGGAGGGGAAUGGUUAUUCUUGAGGCACCGCAUCUCUUGAGGAGGAAAGAGCCGGAAACACCUGGUCUCUCAAGCAGGAUUGGGCCGAGCCUAUGCCCUGGCUUUUGCAGAAAGAGGAGCGUUAGUUGUUGUGAAUGAUUUGGGAGGGGACUUCAAAGGAGUUGGUAAAGGCUCCUUAGCUGCUGAUAAGGUUGUUGAAGAAAUAAGAAGGAGAGGUGGAAAAGCAGUGGCCAACUAUGAUUCAGUGGAAGAAGGAGAGAAGGUUGUGAAGACAGCCCUGGAUGCUUUUGGAAGAAUAGAUGUUGUGGUCAACAAUGCUGGAAUUCUGAGGGAUCGUUCCUUUGCUAGGAUAAGUGAUGAAGACUGGGAUAUAAUCCACAGAGUUCAUUUGCGGGGUUCAUUCCAAGUGACACGGGCAGCAUGGGAACACAUGAAGAAACAGAAGUAUGGAAGGAUUAUUAUGACUUCAUCAGCUUCAGGAAUAUAUGGCAACUUUGGCCAGGCCAAUUAUAGUGCUGCAAAGUUGGGUCUUCUGGGCCUUGCAAAUUCUCUUGCAAUUGAAGGCAGGAAAAGCAACAUUCAUUGUAACACCAUUGCUCCUAAUGCGGGAUCACGGAUGACUCAGACAGUUAUGCCUGAAGAUCUUGUGGAAGCCCUGAAGCCAGAGUAUGUGGCACCUCUUGUCCUUUGGCUUUGUCACGAGAGUUGUGAGGAGAAUGGUGGCUUGUUUGAGGUUGGAGCAGGAUGGAUUGGAAAAUUACGCUGGGAGCGGACUCUUGGAGCUAUUGUAAGACAAAAGAAUCACCCAAUGACUCCUGAGGCAGUCAAGGCUAACUGGAAGAAGAUCUGUGACUUUGAGAAUGCCAGCAAGCCUCAGAGUAUCCAAGGCUGGAGUAUGGUGGCAUGAUCUCAGCUCACUACAACCUCUGCCCCUUGGGUUCAAGCGAUUCUCCCACCUCAGCCUCCCAAGUAGCUGGGAUUACAGAAUCAACUGGCAGUAUAAUUGAAGUUCUGAGUAAAAUAGAUUCAGAAGGAGGAGUUUCAGCAAAUCAUACUAGUCGUGCAACGUCUACAGCAACAUCAGGAUUUGCUGGAGCUAUUGGCCAGAAACUCCCUCCAUUUUCUUAUGCUUAUACGGAACUGGAAGCUAUUAUGUAUGCCCUUGGAGUGGGAGCGUCAAUCAAGGAUCCAAAAGAUUUGAAAUUUAUUUAUGAAGGAAGUUCUGAUUUCUCCUGUUUGCCCACCUUCGGAGUUAUCAUAGGUCAGAAAUCUAUGAUGGGUGGAGGAUUAGCAGAAAUUCCUGGACUUUCAAUCAACUUUGCAAAGGUUCUUCAUGGAGAGCAGUACUUAGAGUUAUAUAAACCACUUCCCAGAGCAGGAAAAUUAAAAUGUGAAGCAGUUGUUGCUGAUGUCCUAGAUAAAGGAUCCGGUGUAGUGAUUAUUAUGGAUGUCUAUUCUUAUUCUGAGAAGGAACUUAUAUGCCACAAUCAGUUCUCUCUCUUUCUUGUUGGCUCUGGAGGCUUUGGUGGAAAACGGACAUCAGACAAAGUCAAGGUAGCUGUAGCCAUACCUAAUAGACCUCCUGAUGCUGUACUUACAGAUACCACCUCUCUUAAUCAGGCUGCUUUGUACCGCCUCAGUGGAGACUGGAAUCCCUUACACAUUGAUCCUAACUUUGCUAGUCUAGCAGGUUUUGACAAGCCCAUAUUACAUGGAUUAUGUACAUUUGGAUUUUCUGCCAGGCGUGUGUUACAGCAGUUUGCAGAUAAUGAUGUGUCAAGAUUCAAGGCAAUUAAGGCUCGUUUUGCAAAACCAGUAUAUCCAGGACAAACUCUACAAACUGAGAUGUGGAAGGAAGGAAACAGAAUUCAUUUUCAAACCAAGGUCCAAGAAACUGGAGACAUUGUCAUUUCAAAUGCAUAUGUGGAUCUUGCACCAACAUCUGGUACUUCAGCUAAGACACCCUCUGAGGGCGGGAAGCUUCAGAGUACCUUUGUAUUUGAGGAAAUAGGACGCCGCCUAAAGGAUAUUGGGCCUGAGGUGGUGAAGAAAGUAAAUGCUGUAUUUGAGUGGCAUAUAACCAAAGGCGGAAAUAUUGGGGCUAAGUGGACUAUUGACCUGAAAAGUGGUUCUGGAAAAGUGUACCAAGGCCCUGCAAAAGGUGCUGCUGAUACAACAAUCAUACUUUCAGAUGAAGAUUUCAUGGAGGUGGUCCUGGGCAAGCUUGACCCUCAGAAGGCAUUCUUUAGUGGCAGGCUGAAGGCCAGAGGGAACAUCAUGCUGAGCCAGAAACUUCAGAUGAUUCUUAAAGACUACGCCAAGCUCUGAAGGGCACACUACACUAUUAAUAAAAAUGGAAUCAUUAAAUACUCUCUUCACCCAAAUAUGCUUGAUUAUUCUGCAAAAGUGAUUAGAACUAAGAUGCAGGGGAAAUUGCUUAACAUUUUCAGAUAUCAGAUAACUGCAGAUUUUCAUUUUCUACUAAUUUUUCAUGUAUCAUUAUUUUUACAAGGAACUAUAUAUAAGCUAGCACAUAAUUAUCCUUCUGUUCUUAGAUCUGUAUCUUCAUAAUAAAAAAUUUUGCCCAAGUCCUGUUUCCUUAGAAUUUGUGAUAGCAUUGAUAAGUUGAAAGGAAAAUUAAAUCAAUAAAGGCCUUUGAUACCUUU